rnacentral:tRNA from 1 species
UCGGGUGUAGAGCAGUCGGUUAGCCUAUCCCGAUUUAUAAUCAGGAGGGUCCCAGGUUCCCUGCCUGCCGUUGACGACAGUCAGGCAGGGAAUCCUGGCACCCCGAC